UAAACAAGUAACAUUUGGAUUUCCUCAACAUUUAUGUAUAAAUAUUUUCUAAUUUUAAAUUCCAGGGUUCAGAAGCAGUUGAAGGCCUUGUCCUAAACCUUCCAAAGCCAAUGCAUUUGAAUACCAAAACUUUCACAAUUAUGCAAAAGUUAAGGUUGUUUCAAAUCAAUAAUGUCCACCUACAUGGAAGCUUUCAAGGUUUGUUGAAAGAGUUAAGGUGGCUUUGUUGGCAUCAUUGCCCAUUUGUGACUCUAUACCAUCCGAUUUGCGUCUUAUAAAGCUAGUUGCCCUUGACAUGCAGAACAGUAAUCUCAAAACAUGAAACGGCAUGAAGUUCCUAGCAAACUUGAAGAGCCUAAAUCAUAGCAAUCAAAAUUCCUAAAAACUACACCUGACUUUCGUGGAGUACCAAAACUUGAUGAGCUAUCACUAAGAUUUUGUUCAAGUCUGUUAGAACUUGAUCCAUCAAUUGGACAUCUGGGCAAGUUGACAGACUUGAAUUUGGGAUACUGCGAGAAACUGAAAAGCCUUCCAAAAAGCAUUUGAAAUCUAAGAUCACUCGAGCGUUUAUAGAACCCUUGCAAGAGCUUCAUCCCCCAGGAACUUCAAUCAGACAACUACCUCAUUCCAUUGGAUUUCUAAAAACAACUUAAAAAAUUGUUUCGUUAGCUCAGAAUAAUAAAAACAUAUGAAUCCCAAGCCUUUGUUUUCAUUUUUCCCAUUUCAAAUUUAUCACAAACUAAAACAAAGAUUAACUUUUUGCCACCAAGUGUUUCUACUUUAAGGUCAAUAAAAGGCAUGGAUCAGAGUGACAGCGAUCUGUCUGAUGCCGAUAUUCCAUAUGAUCUUUAACUAUUUACAUCUGAAUGGUAACAAUUUUUGUAGUAUACCAUCACCUGAAUGGUUAAAUGAUUGCAAGAUUCUUUAAUCAAUCCAAGAGUUUCCUUCUAAUCUUAAGACACUAGAUGCAAGUAACUGCCCGAUGUUGGAACGACUUCCAGAUCAAUCGAGCUUAAAACACAUGGAAUGUUUGGACUUUAGAACUGCAGCAGCUAAUUACUUGUGUUACAAGGUCUACAGAACAUCAAUACCCUUAAAGAAACUUAUCUAGAAGGCUGCAUUAAUCUUACUGCAAUUUUCGAAGAACGCUUAUUUCAGGAAUAAUUCGAACGAGAGGCCAAUUGCAGCAUUGUUCUUUCAAGACGGUGUAUUCCAGAGUGGUCGAGAAUGUGUGUAACAUAUGAUAUACAAACAUGACAUCAAUGUUGUGGCUAAAGAGCAGUCACAUAAGAGAGGUCUUGUAGCAGUCAAAACAGGCAAUGACGCGUCUAAAGAGAGCAAACACUCUAAAAGAUUGAAAUGGGACUGAAGUCAAAUGAAUUAUGUAGCAAUUAUGUAUAGAGAUAACAACAUUAAAGCACAUUAUUAAUGGUUGUAAUAUAAUUGGGUAAUGAUUUACUGAUGGUUAUUUGAAACAGGUCAG